UUAUUGCAAGCCCAUGAUAUAAAUCAUCCAGGAGAGGCCAGGGAAGACCAGCUUCUGAGCUUAUUUAUUGUAGAAAAGAUUGGCAUUAAUGAGCUGGAGGAGCAGAACGCAUCCAUCAGGGCUGAAAACACCAGCCUGUCCUUCAAGGGAGUGAGAUGAAAGAAAACAAGUGGCAUCCAGAGGAACUUCACAAUCCUCUCUCUAAUGGGGACUGCAAGAUGCCAUCUGACAUUGGAUAUUUGAACAUCCCAGGGAGCACAAGCUGAGCCCCAGGUCUCUUCUACUCAAAUCCAGGAGCUGAUGCAUGUAAAGCUGAGAUUUUCCCUGAGAAUCUGGAAGUGAAGCUGAAAUCGCUUCAGUGAAAAGUGAGCCAGCAUGGGGGAAAGUGCAAUCAUAAUCUAUCCAAGCACAGAGGUUUUCCAGAUCCACUCACCACCAGAGCAGGAUUCUUCGAGCAAUACCCAUGAAUGAACAAAUGCAGAACAGCUGUGUGCCAGCCUACGGUUUGGCAUCAGGAGCUCAUUUUCCUUUUCUCUGUCAUUAUUACCACAAACUCCACAGGUCUUUCCUCUCAUCCAGGAAGCAACUGUAACCUGCAAAGCAACACAUCUUUGUAGUGAAUGCUGAAGUGUUGGUCUGACACACGGGCAAGCACUGGGCAGAAAGGAAGCAGUAACCUUGAAAGUAAGUGCAGUACCUUAAGAUUUACACCAUCAAAAGUCACCUGCUUCAGCCCGAGUUCUGGAACUUCCACAGCAACUGUGUUUUCAAUUUUAUAAAUUUUGACAUUGCCUGUAAAAAAGAUGGUGAAUCAUACAGUGAUCAUCUUAAAUUAACGGAGAGACUGUAACACAAAACUCACCACAAUGCGUUUUCCUUCACAAUGAUCAUUUUGCUGCUACAGUUAAAUAUGUAUAUUUAAGUGGAGAGGAAAAACAAAAAUAGAAGAAAUAAUAUAUUUUCAAAAAUGUUCCACUGCUGUUACCCAUAGUUGGAACUGACUUCUGUAUCCAGUGCUAAAUUUUGAGAUGAUAAUGACAGUGGUGGUGCUCCAGCUAAAUGUCUGAACUAAAGCAUCUCUCUGUGACUAUAACAUGAACUUUUUUCUGAACAAUCACCAAGCUGGGUAUAUUAUAAGAAAGGGUUUUAUUCGCCUGUCAUUUAUGCUGGAGGAGUAGUAGUAAGAGUGUAUAUACUAUAGGAAACAUGAACAUAAGUCACUACAAAACUUAAGAAAGUAGUCUCUAGUUUUCUCUUUGAAUUAAUUCUAUUUGUGUUUUCUUUACACUGAGAUCUUUCUGUGAAAUUUAUAAAACCUUGCUAUUUAGUUCCCAGGUCAGUCCUGGAAAACUGGGUUUCACAGCUUACCUUUUUCAUACUCAGAAUCUUCACUGUGUGAUAGAACUCGUUCUUCAUUGCAUGCCACAAGGAGAGAUGAAUUUGAGGCAGGACAGAUUGUGAUGUUCCUUCAAAAAAAGCAAAAAUGAAAGAGAAUAAAUAAGUGGUUAAAUGGGAAAAGUAUAGAUAUUUGUGACUAUCUGAAUUUGAAUGAAUGAACAAGCAGUUUUCUUUCCAAAGUGCAAAAUUUAUUGGGACUGUGGGCUUUAAUAUUCAACCUUUAAAGAAAGACAGCAUAGGGAAUUAUUGAGCAAGCUAUCAGAUAUUGGUGGCUGUGGAAUUCAAGACAAGAGCAACUACACCAUAGAGCCUCAGACAAGGAUUCCUUCUGGAAAUUCUGUCUUUCCCCAUAUGUCUUAUUAAAAACUAGUUUCAGCUAGAAACUAGAUAUCUCUUAGUCCCAGACUAACUCCCUGAGAAACUUUGCACCUUAAUUCUAAGCCUCAGUAUAAAUCACACUUACGCUGAUGUUGUGUUUAUGUGAACCUCUCUUGAGAAAGACUGAGGAUCAACCUUCCUUGUAGUAAUGAUGAACUUUGGGUAUUCAGUACAGUCUUGUACCACCACCAGGUUGCAGCUUUUAUUGAAAGAAUAUGAAUAGCUCACACGAUCAAAUGUUUUGAAAUCUCUCUCCCUGAUUUCACAUGUGGCUGCAAAACAAAAUCACAAAAGAAAUGGCAGAUGUGACCACUGUAUGUGUUGCUGGGAAGUACUGAAAGACAUCUCCAUGAAAUUGAGCUACCCAGCAAACAGGAAGAAAACUUCACCUCCUUGGCAGAAGCCAGAGUCUGUAAGGACAUGAGAACACUACAAAAUAACUACCUGCUGUAGAUUUUACCAGUAUUGAUUUUGAUUGCAUGCCAAACACAAAACUCAAGCUAACAGGGACGAAAAUGUACAAAAUCCUUGAGAAACUGGAUGCCAUAACAAACUGUCAUAAAAAUUCCCCAUUUCCCACAGGAGUGCUAGGAGAGACUUAUGUGGCUCCUUUUUGAAUAAAAUAAACUGAACAGAAAAUAUGUGGACUCUCUUGUGCCCAUCACUCGAUGCCUCUCAAUGCAGAGCUGGCACCUUCUCAGGAGGGGCAAAAGACAACCUCUAGUCCUUGAAGACAGGAGUGAUUCCCAAACUCUGGAUUUUUACAGCAGUUUGAAGCCUCCUCAUUCACCUGCCAAAAACCUGCUUCUCUGUGAGGGAAUGACCUGCUGGAAGCAGGGCUGCAGAUGCAUGCUGUGCUUCCCUGUAAGACCAUUAGAAAGAAAGGCAAGGCCCAGCCAUGGCAGAGCAUGGAUCUACACACAUCGCUUAUUCAUGAGACAAACAUAUAAGUAACAUUUACAUUGAUCUUCUUGUGCUAUUUGUGAAGCUAUUUCAGGAAAUAAAUUCCAGGCAGUGAUAUCUCGAGUCUCGUAAGCUGGAGAUGGGCCUAAGGGCAGAGAGAAUGGCAAUCGAGAUCCCUGACAAUAAAGUGUUACCUGAAAAAGCAGAAAGGAAAAUGCAUUAAGAUAAAUUGAACCAUAUGCUCAAGAUAUGACUGCAAAAAAAACCCCACUCUUAUCUUGGAAAAAAAACCCUUGAAGAUGCAUUUCUGCAAUUGCAGUUGUGUUAGUCUCGGCAGAAUGAACGUACCCUAACCUUCAGCUCUUGCGAGAAAUCAUCAUAAUCUCUUCUAGCCAUACUUGACUUUUUGAGAAAUUGUUGAGAACACUGAAAAGUAACUGAUAGAGAUGAGCUUAAGUGAUAUUUGAGUGACUUCUUAAAAAAUAAGUUAACAAGUUGAGUAACUGAGAUGAUGGAUGUGUUUGGAAAAAUGAAUCUCAUCCAUUAAGGGCUGAAAACUGGCAUGUUCAGCAUUGGGGAGAGGACUGGACUAUAAUUUCUCUUUGCCUUCUCCAAGACUUCCUGAUUUGAACCCACCCCACUUUCUUCAAUACUGAAUAUCAUGCUGAAAUUGUUAAUUGCAGCUGCAAAAAGCAGAGGUUUAUAAAUUUUUGCACAAGCAAUUGCUCCAAAAAGCUCAUGGGAAGCACAGCACAGGGAUAUGCAAAAAGAGUAAGGAUCUCCUCCUUCAUUUAUGAUGCUCUCUUUGGCAUCAACCUGUUAGCCAACUUUGCUUUUUCCAUCUUUUCAUAUAAAUCCUAAGAAAUCAA